rnacentral:tRNA from 1 species
GUAGCUGUAGUUUAAAAAAAAUACUAGAUUGUGAUUCUAGCCAUGGGAGUUAAUGUCUCCCCAGCCACC